rnacentral:rRNA from 1 species
UUACGGCCACAUCUCGUUGAAACACCGGUUGCCGUACGACUACCGAAGUUAAGCAAUGUCGAACCUGGUCAGUACCUAGAAGGGUGACCACCUGGGAAUACCGAAUGAUGUA